rnacentral:rRNA from 1 species
CUCCCGUUGAUCCUGCCGGACCUGACUGCUAUCGGAUUGGUACUAAGCCAUGUGAGUCAUUGUAGCAAUACAAGGCAUACGGCUCAGUAACACGUAGUCAAUCUAACCUAUGGACGUGGAUAACCUCGGGAAACUGAGAAUAAUCCGCGAUAGAUCAUAAUUCCUGGAAUGGUUUAUGGUCCAAAUGAUUCGUCGCCAUAGGAUGGGACUGCGGCCUAUCAGCUUGUUGGUGAGGUAAUGGCUCACCAAGGCUAUUACAGGUACGGGCUCUGAGAGGAGAAGCCCGGAGAUGGGUACUGAGACACGGACCCAGGCCCUAUGGGGCGCAGCAGGCGAGAAACCUUUGCAAUGUGCGCAAGCACGACAAGGUUAAUCCGAGUGUUUCCUGCUAAAGGAAUCUUUUGUUAGUUCUAAAACCACUGAUGAAUAAGAGGUGGGCAAGUUCUGGUGCCAGCAGCCGCGGUAAU